UCUGAAUGUGACACAGCAUCGGCAUGGACU
rnacentral:piRNA from 1 species